AUGCACGCUGGCGGCGUGCCUAAUACAUGCAAGUCGAGCGAACAGACGAGGAGCUUGCUCCUCUGACGUUAGCGGCGGACGGGUGAGUAACACGUGGAUAACCUACCUAUAAGACUGGGAUAACUUCGGGAAACCGGAGCUAAUACCGGAUAAUAUAUUGAGCCGCAUGGUUCAAUAGUGAAAGACGGUUUUGCUGUCACUUAUAGAUGGAUCCGCGCCGCAUUAGCUAGUUGGUAAGGUAACGGCUUACCAAGGCAACGAUGCGUAGCCGACCUGAGAGGGUGAUCGGCCACACUGGAACUGAGACACGGUCCAGACUCCUACGGGAGGCAGCAGUAGGGAAUCUUCCGCAAUGGGCGAAAGCCUGACGGAGCAACGCCGCGUGAGUGAUGAAGGUCUUCGGAUCGUAAAACUCUGUUAUUAGGGAAGAACAAAUGUGUAAGUAACUAUGCACGUCUUGACGGUACCUAAUCAGAAAGCCACGGCUAACUACGUG
rnacentral:rRNA from 1 species